UGCAUAUCAAUAAGCGGAGGAAAAGAAACCAACAGGGAUUGCCCCAGUAACGGCGAGUGAAGCGGCAACAGCUCAAAUUUGAAAUCUGGCACCCCCCCGGGGCCCGAGUUGUAAUUUGCAGAGGAUGCUUCGGGCGAGGCGCCUUCCGAGUUCCCUGGAACGGGACGCCACAGAGGGUGAGAGCCCCGUCUGGUCGGACGCCGAGCCCGCGUAGAAGCUCCUUCGACGAGUCGAGUAGUUUGGGAAUGCUGCUCUAAACGGGAGGUAUAUGUCUUCUAAAGCUAAAUACCGGCCAGAGACCGAUAGCGCACAAGUAGAGUGAUCGAAAGAUGAAAAGCACUUUGAAAAGAGAGUUAAACAGCACGUGAAAUUGUUGAAAGGGAAGCGCUCGCGACCAGACGCGGGCGCGGCGCACCCGCCGGCGUUCUCGCCGGCGCACCGCGCCGCGCCCGGGCCAGCAUCGGCCCGCGGCGGGGGACAAAGGCGCCGGGAACGUGGCUCCCUCGGGAGUGUUAUAGCCCGGCGCGCAACGCCCCGCGGCGGGCCGAGGUUCGCGCAUCUGCAAGGAUGCUGGCGUAAUGGUCAUCA
rnacentral:rRNA from 2 species